rnacentral:rRNA from 1 species
GAUGAACGCUAGCUACAGGCUUAACACAUGCAAGUCGAGGGGCAGCGGGAUUGAAGCUUGCUUCAAUUGCCGGCGACCGGCGCACGGGUGAGUAACGCGUAUCCAACCUUCCGUACACUCAGGGAUAGCCUUUCGAAAGAAAGAUUAAUACCUGAUGGUAUGAUGAGAUUGCAUGAUAGCAUCAUUAAAGAUUUAUCGGUGUACGAUGGGGAUGCGUUCCAUUAGGUAGUAGGCGGGGUAACGGCCCACCUAGCCAACGAUGGAUAGGGGUUCUGAGAGGAAGGUCCCCCACAUUGGAACUGAGACACGGUCCAAACUCCUACGGGAGGCAGCAGUGAGGAAUAUUGGUCAAUGGGCGAGAGCCUGAACCAGCCAAGUAGCGUGAAGGAUGAAGGUCCUACGGAUUGUAAACUUCUUUANACGGGAAUAAAGUCGGUAUGGAUACCCGUUUGCAUGUACUUAUGAAUAAGGAUCGGCUAACUCCGUGCCAGCAGCC